rnacentral:rRNA from 1 species
AGUGAACGCUGGCGGUAGGCCUAACACAUGCAAGUCGAACGGCAGCACAGUAAGAGCUUGCUCUUACGGGUGGCGAGUGGCGGACGGGUGAGGAAUACAUCGGAAUCUACUUUUUCGUGGGGGAUAACGUAGGGAAACUUACGCUAAUACCGCAUACGACCUACGGGUGAAAGCAGGGGAUCUUCGGACCUUGCGCGAUUGAAUGAGCCGAUGUCGGAUUAGCUAGUUGGCGGGGUAAAGGCCCACCAAGGCGACGAUCCGUAGCUGGUCUGAGAGGAUGAUCGGCCACACUGGAACUGAGACACGGUCCAGACUCCUACGGGAGGCAGCAGUAGGGAAUAUUGGGCAAUGGGCGCAAGCCUGAUCCAGCCAUACCGCGUGAGUGAAGAAGGCCUUCGGGUUGUAAAGCCCUUUUGUUGGGAAAGAAAAGCAGCAGGUUAAUACCCCGCUGUUCUGACGGUACCCAAAGAAUAAGCACCGGCUAACUUCGUG